rnacentral:rRNA from 1 species
UACAGAGGUCUCAAGCGUUGUUCGGAUUCAUUGGGCGUAAAGGGUGCGUAGGUGGCGAGGCAAGUCAGAUGUGAAAUCCCGGGGCUCAACCCCGGAACUGCAUUUGAAACUGCCUUGCUCGAGUACUGGAGAGGAGACUGGAAUUUACGGUGUAGCAGUGAAAUGCGUAGAUAUCUGGAGGAACACCGGUGGCGAAGGCGGCGUUCUGGACUGUUACUGACACUGAGGAACGAAAGCCAGGGGAGCAAACGGG